UACAGAGGUCUCAAGCGUUGUUCGGAUUCAUUGGGCGUAAAGGGUGCGUAGGUGGCGGGGUAAGUCUGGUGUGAAAUCUCGGAGCUCAACUCCGAAACUGCACUGGAUACUGCCUUGCUCGAGUACUGGAGAGGAGAUUGGAAUUUACGGUGUAGCAGUGAAAUGCGUAGAUAUCUGGAGGAACACCGGUGGCGA
rnacentral:rRNA from 1 species